rnacentral:rRNA from 1 species
UUAUCACAUGCAAGUCGAACGGACCGUAUACGCAGCUUGCUGCGUGUAUGGUUAGUGGCAGACGGGUGAGUAAUGCAUAGGAAUCUACCUAGUAGUAUGGGAUAGCCACUAGAAAUGGUGGGUAAUACUGUAUAAUCCCUGCGGGGGAAAGAUUUAUCGCUAUUAGAUGAGCCUAUGUCAGAUUAGCUAGUUGGUGGGGUAAUGGCCUACCAAGGCGGUGAUCUGUAGCUGGUCUGAGAGGAUGAUCAGCCACACUGGAACUGAGACACGGUCCAGACUCCUACGGGAGGCAGCAGUGGGGAAUAUUGGACAAUGGGCGCAAGCCUGAUCCAGCUAUGCCGCGUGAGUGAGGAAGGCCUUAGGGUUGUAAAACUCUUUCAGUAGGGAAGAUAAUGACGGUACCUACAGAAGAAGUCCCGGCAAACUC